AUUGAACGCUGGCGGCAUGCUUUACACAUGCAAGUCGAACGGUAACAGGCCUUCGGGUGCUGACGAGUGGCGAACGGGUGAGUAAUGCAUCGGAACGUGCCCAGAGGUGGGGGAUAACGCAGCGAAAGCUGUGCCAAUACCGCAUGUGAUCUGAGGUUGAAAGCGGGGGACCAAGCAGCAAUGUUUGGCUUCGCGCGUCUGGAGCGGCCGAUGUCAGAUUAGGUAGUUGGUGGGGUAAAGGCCUACCAAGCCGACGAUCUGUAGCUGGUCUGAGAGGACGACCAGCCACACUGGGACUGAGACACGGCCCAGACUCCUACGGGAGGCAGCAGUGGGGAAUUUUGGACAAUGGGCGCAAGCCUGAUCCAGCAAUGCCGCGUGCGGGAAGAAGGCCUUCGGGUUGUAAACCGCUUUUGUACGGAACGAAAAGGCUCUGGCUAAUCCCUGGGGCUGAUGACGGUACCGUAAGAAUAAGCACCGGCUAACUACGUG
rnacentral:rRNA from 1 species